ensembl:lncRNA
AUAUUGAAACACUGGUUAUAAUAAACUCAGAGUGGCCAUCAGCCCUCUCCGCAUCUAUCCUGAUGUGCACAUUGGAUUGCGACACCGACAGAUGGCUAUCCUUGGGACGUACUGUAUGUUACCCGCUUUGCAUCUUUUCUCCAGAACACCCUUCCUUCAUUUGCCUCUGACUUGUUAUAUGUCAAGAAGAUGAACAUGUGGUUUAAGAGUGAGAACUAUGACCUGAUGCCUUUAAAUGGGAACUACAAAUAAUACGUGUUUUAUCAUUCAAAAGAGUGGGGUACUCAUUUCAGCUGAAUUUCUUCUCUCUAGGUCUUACUUUGGUUGUCUCAUUGAGACUCGAGGGGUUAAAUUAAAGAAUGCAUAGGUGACGUGAUAUACCUGAGACCAUGUAUGGGAUGAAAAUCUUAUUGAAAUUAGUUGAGGGAGGAAAGGAGUAUGGAAGAAUACAAAAUGGGGAUGGAGCAGGCAGCUGGAUCGCCCUGACAUGCAGGAAUCAUGUAUGGUAGCCAGAAGCCAUAGUGUAGAAUUUUGAGGGCUGAGCCAACUCAUAAAUUGUUUUUCUGAGGAAUAUCUUGUCCAUGUUUAUGGGUAAAUGGGGAUAGCAAUAAUAACACCUACUCCUCAAGUCUGUUGUGGUAUUCAAUAGGAUAAAAAAUAUAAGAAUUACUUUGUAAACUAUAAAGCUUUACAAAUAUUGGUUCUUAUUAGUCUCAAAUUUUCUGAUAUGCUUCUAAGGAGUAAUUAACAAAGUAGUGUUAAUCAACAUUUCUGAGCAAGUAGGAAGUCUCAAAAUGAAUGUACACACCUCCUCUGCCACCGAUGGGGUGACAUCUCUGCAGGACAGUCAGGAAGCACGGAGCACGCAGCGCAAUGGAGAGUCACGGAACUGAUGGAGCCUGUAUAACUGUAUCCUGAGGAAAGAGCCUGUGUUCAAUGAUGAGCUCCCAUCCCACAUCCUACGUGGCACCGUGUCCAUCUCUGUGAAGGAGUUCACAGAGACCUCAGCCAUGUUUGAGGAUGGGACUGUGUUUGAGGCCAUUGACUCCAUCAUCUUUGCAACAGGCUAUGAUUACACCUACCCCUUCCUUGAUGACUCCAUCAUCAAAAGCAGAAACAAUGAGGUCAGCUUGUUUAAAGGCAGUUUCCCCCACUGGUGGAGAACCAAACUUGGCUGUGAUUGGCUGUGUCCAGUCCCUUGGGGCUGCCAUCCCCACAGCUGACCUGCAGGCCCACUGGGCUGCUAAAGUGUUUGCAAGGAGGUGGGGCCAUUCUGUUUUUCAUUCAUUUAGUCAAUGAACAUUUAUUGGAUAACUACUAUAUGCCAAGCACUGUACUAGGUCCUAGGAACAUAAAGGGAACCAGACAGACAUGCUCCUUGACCUCACAGAGUUUAAAAUAGAGUAGUGGGAAUGCCACAAUAGGGGAAGGUUUAGGGUGUUCUGGUGAGGGGAGUUGGGCAGUGAGUUAUUCCGUGAAGAGGGACCAGCACUAGGAAAGGCAUAACAAUGAGGAACAGCAUGGAGUAUGUGAGGAACUGGAAACAUUUUGGUAUAAGGGAAUAUAAAGCAGAGGCAGAGUGUGGCAAGAAAUGGAGGAAGAGACCAGAGCAAGGAGGGCCUCAUAAGCUGUGUUAGGGGGCUUAGAUUUCUUGUAGGGCAAUUGGGGAGGACUUUGCAAAGCUUUAAGCAAGAGGACAGCAAUGGGUCACUGCAAUGUCAAGGUACAUUGCAAAAGUUGGAAGGGCCCCCAGUGGGUGCCAGGGGCCUGCUGGAGACCUUCUUGGUGUCAGCCUGUGUCAGAAUAGCAAUGUCAGGUCACUCCUACUCUAUUGACAGUCUUCUCCCCCUCCCUCCAAUCUAGACCCAUGGUCUCCAGGGGCUACCAGUAUGCUUAUGUGAGGAAAUCAAGAAUAUGAAGAUUACAUGGAGAAAGACAGUGUCUCAAAUACAUUGAUUUCAAUUUACUCCAAUCACAUUGAUCAUCAUUGUUAUUGAAAGUGUCUCGAACCUAAGGGUUUGAGAAUCUUGGCCAAUAUAAGUAUACUUUACCUAACAUACUAUCCAUAAAAACUUAGACUAUAGGUAAUGAAGAAAAUGUUACAAUCAUAGAGUGUGUGUAUGUUUUCUAAAAAUGUUAUGAAUAAAUAAAC